UGUAGUGGCAUCCGCACUGGACUUUGCAGCGAGUGGUUCCGGUUUCGAAUCCAGCCGGCUCCUUGCACGUUUUCCAUCCGUGCUGGGUCGCAUGUCGAGCUCGCACCUCAGCCCCAUAAAAAACAGACAAACACGCUGAAGAAAUGGCAAGCUUGCCAUCUGAUGCACCACAAGGUGUGGAAAGAAGCAAUAACAACAACUAUAGCAGUUAAAUCUGCAAAAUUCACCAGAAGAUUGGAGAUAAUGGUGAUAAAUAAGACCCUUCAAACGUCAGCCUCCUGUACCAACGUAGACAAUUUCACUCACCACAAUAUUGAACUUAUUACUGAGCACAACCUAUGGAUUCACUUUCAAGGACUCUACAAUUCAUGCUCUCUGUAUUGUUUAUUUAGUUAUAUAUUAUUAUUAUUCUUUGUUUUUCUUUGUAUUUGCUAUUUACAGUUUUUACACAUUGGUUGGUAUUUUUAGAUUUUAAUUGAUUCUUCGUGUUUCUUUAUUAUACUAUGAAUGCCUGCAAGGAAAUGAAUCUUAGGGUAGUAGUUGGUGACAUACAAGUACUUUGAUAACAAAUUUACUUUGAACUUUUAACUUCUACAUCUAGACAACCAUAGUUAUUAAUAAUACUAAUUAAUAAUAUUAAUUAGAAUAGAGUUUUAGUAAAAUGGGUAGUCUAUGUGUUCACAAAAGCUUUGGAACCAAAUAUACUCUGGAAAUGAAGAUGACUCUAUGGAUAAUCAUUGUGCUCAAUAUUGCUGGUGUGAUCAGAAUAACAGGCCAGAUGUCAUUGGAUUAAAGACAGGUGUAAUGGAAGGCAGGCUUACUUGAUUUGUAAUGACUUGUACAUAUCAUCUUGUGUUUUAAAUUAGAUUUGAAAUCUUGACUGA